rnacentral:rRNA from 1 species
GAGCUAGUAACAAGCAUUUGAGCUAACGAUGUCCGAAUGGGGGAACCCGGCCGCAUAAGCGGUCAUCAUAACGUGAAUACAUAGCGUUAUGAGGCAAACGAGGGGAACUGAAACAUCUAAGUNNUAGCGGCGAGCGAACGGGGAUUAGCCCUUAAGUCAGAGGGGUGUUAGUGGAAUGGUCUGGAAAGUCCAGCGGCACAGGGUGAUAGCCCCGUACACGAAAACUAACCUUUGAUGAAAACGAGUAAGGCGGGACACGUGAUAUCCUGUUUGAAUAUGAG